UUUCCAAAAGGCAAUUCCAUAGGCAUCAAUGCAACUUCCAUAACAUCAGAGAUGCAGGCUUUUGAUUUGAGCACAUAAUAAACUGGAAACCUGGAAACAAACCUCUAUAGUCCAGAGAGUGUCGUAGAUAGACGAAUUUAAAUUUGACAAGCGACAGAAUAGCAAAGAUCGCAGUAAGUCUGGAUUGUAUUAACACACGGCUUGUAACGGUCUUUUGCAUUUGAUGUUUUGUUGAGCUGUAUGUCCAGAUUUUGCUCUUUUGCACCAUCUGGUGGUGAACUAUGGAGGGUUCAGUUGUUUGCAGUUUGGGUCUCCACCCAGCCACUCUUUUGCUAGCGCACAUGGUGUCUGGGUGCUACAGCUCGCGGUUAGCUCCACACAUAGAGAAAGUAAUGUUUAAAGUUAAAUGAAGAGAAGAAAUAAGUGAGAAAGAAGAUGGAGAAUAAGAUAAUAAGGCCAUAAAGGACUAUUUAGCCCCUCCUGGAUGUCAGCUCACGAGUUCUCACGGGUUGUCAAGACCAGAGUAAACCUUGUUUUAUAACUCUACAUCGUGCCUACGUCAAUCCUUGAGGGUGCUACACGGCUUCUUCUUCUUUAUAUGUGCCACACGAGGGCCCCAAGAUCACAAGUAUCCUAUGUUGUUUUUCACGCUCUUCUCUUACACACAGAUUCUCAGUGUCUUUUGAUGAUGAUGUUAUUCAAAGUCUUUGCAAUGUUACAUUGAUGAACAUCUGUAAUUGUUCCAAAAUUUGUAGAAUUUUGUAGACGAAACUCUGCACAUGUUUACUUUUGCGAAACUCCUCAUAUCUGAGAUGCUGUUUUUAAUGCCCAGUCAUGUUACUGGCAUGUUACCAAUAAAUCUAAUUCUUUGCUAAAUGUUCCUCCAGCUGUUUCUUUUUAGUACGGUUUACUUUACCUGUCAUUUGUUCCCCUAGUCCCAAGUUUUUUGAGAUGUGUUGCUGCCACCAAAUUCAAAACAAGCUAUGAAAGCUACCUUUCAUGAAGUAGUCUGUUUCAACAUUUAAUGGUUUUUUUUUUUUUGUGCAAUUUUUUUCCAUUUUAAACAACAUCUAAACUUCUUCGGAAAUAGGGUUGUAGAUCUUAAAGACUUGUAUGCAACUUUUCUUUUUUGACCCCUAAAAAUGCAGAUCUGCACUGGUUUAAUUUUUCCUGCAUCUCUUGUGAAAACUCCAUGUUUUUGCCUCAUUGUAUUCGCCUGACAAGGAUCAGGGUCAUACAUUUUUACCACAAGGUGGCAGAAGUGCUGUUUAAUGAUUCAUUUCCUGUUCUGCAGAGGCUGCUUUCAGAUACUCCUAGAAGAUUUCCACUUUUAAAGUUUUAAACAAUGGAUAUGUAAAUGCUAUACGACAGAAUUUAAUAAAACAGGACUACUUGCUAGGUACACUAAGCUGUUAAUGCAGAUUUCCCAGCUCUAAAUAAAUCUUACCAAGUCAAGCAACUUAAAGUUUCUGGGGAUUUUGUUAAUCAUUGCAGCAUUUCUGAACCUACAGAAAGAACCACAGUUCCAUUUAGGUUGACUUUACACAUCAUUUAUGUGCACGAAGAUAAUACAUUUUCCAUGACACAUGUCAAAAACACAUUUAACAAGAGCUAUUAAAUGUACCCAUUCUUUAAAUUAUUUAUUUAGUGGUAUUGCACUUGGUACAUUUGCCAUUUUUUGUGGUAUUGCCAGCCUGAAUGAAGUAAUUGCCUUGCAGUGGAGUUUUUAAAACCCUGUGUUUGAAAUGAGUAUCGCUAUGUUGCCAUGACCUCUUAAUCUGAAAUGCUUCUCCCACACAUGCACAUUAUUUUGUUGUUUGUGGUUUCCUGAAUGCACUUGAAAGUUGCGGUGAAUGACCUACAGUUCACAACCAUCAAACCCUCAAAUGUACAACCAUGCAUAUCCAAUCGCCAGUCAUUAUUAUAUAAAUAAUAUAAAUCACUAAAGUUAUCCAUCAUCCAUAACUGAAGAGAGAAAUUUAUACAUGAAAAAGAAUUUUGUGUGUUUCACAUAGUUAAAAUAUGAGUUAGAGGACUUCGACAGCAUCUAGAAAGAUAUGUCUUAAAUUUACUAUCUACACUUGCACAGCAAUGCCUUGACUGUUCAUUAGUUUUUGAUUAGAAUUUGGACUUUUUGCAACUACCAGACUCAGCAACCUGUGUUUAUCCCUGUAUUCAAUUUAAUCUCAGAGAAAAGUACUGAUAGUAAGGUCCUCAUAAAUAAGAAUAUAAGUAAAUAUAAAUAAAAGUUGGAAUGACUUCAUUUUUUUAUAAGUGUGACACCACGUGUCUGGAACUCUGUCACGGUCAGUGUUGCAGGGCAAAUGAACAUUUUCUUUUUCU